GUCUCCUAUCUUUCUAUGCUGUGGCUGAUCUCUGGUGUUAGGUGUUCUAGUGAUACAGCUAUUUAUUGGAUUUUACAGAGUUCUUACUCUUUGGGAGCAGUCAUUCUGUUGACACUCAGGAGUUGCAGAACAGGACAAGAAGAGGAGGAUGAGAGUGGGGAUGCCUCAAAAAGCAAAUACUGAAAGAGGAGUAGUGAGGUACUGGAAUGAAUGCUGGGUUGUGAAGCUUGUGCAGAUUUUCAGGAACCUGUUAGAUAUUCAUUAUUUAUGUGAGAGUGGACUGCACCUGAAAGGAAAGCUGGGUGCAGCACAAUCAAAAUGCGUAAGUCUCUUUCAACCCUGUUUUCUGUGAUUCUGUAUGUCAUUCAUAUGUGCGCAAAAAAAAAUAUUUUGAGCUCUAUUAUCCAUUGUGCAUGUUUGCAUGUUUAGCCCAGUGACUUGCGAUUUUUGGUGGAAUGUAAAAAAAA